rnacentral:rRNA from 1 species
GACGAACGCUGGCGGCGUGCCUAAUACAUGCAAGUUGAGCGAUGAAGCUUGGUGCUUGCACCUAUUUGGAUAGCAGCGAACGGGUGAGUAACACGUGGAUAAUCUACCUUUGAGCGUGGGACAACUUUUGGAAACGAAUGCUAAUACCGCAUAACAUCUUUAAACAUAAGGUUUAAUUUUGAAAGAUGCAAUUGCAUCACUCAAAGAUGAUCCCGCGUUGUAUUAGCCAUUUGGUAAGGUAAAGGCCAUCCAAGGCAAAGAUACGUAGCCGACCUUAGAGGUGGUUCGGCCACUUGGGAAUGAGAAACGGCCCCAGACCCCAAGGGAGGCAGCCGGAGGGAAUCCUCGGGAAUGGACGGAAGUCUGGACGGGGAACGCCGCGUGGGGGAAGAAGGUUGUCGGAUUCUAAAAACCUGGUGGUAGGGAAGAAAGUUGGUGAGAGUGGAAAGCUCAUCAAGUGACGGUAACUACCCAGAAAGGGACGGCUAACUACGUG